UUUUGUUUGUGUUAAGGUCCAGCCAGCUGAGGUGCUCACAACUGAAUCCCAGCUACUUAGGAGACUAAGGCAGGAAGAGGGCAAGCUGGAAGGUGGCCUGGACAACUCAAGCUUAAGCACUUGGAAGCAUUUUGUGAAGUUUGCUGUAUGCACUUAGUUACAGUCUACAGUGACCAGACAGGAGAGCAGUGAAGAGGAAUGAAAUAAAUGGCACCAGUGAUCUGAGACUGCAAUAUCAGAAAGAACAUUUAAGGAAGAAGAUGGUCAAGCUCUGUUAAAAAAACACCAGUGCCUCUAGAGAAGCAAAUUCACACAGCCCUCACCUGGAAUGAACUUGAUAAAUGAUUGGACCCACAUAGCCACAUAAGAAGCGAAGGGGCAACUGAAAGGCAAAGAACUCAGCUGAAACGAUGGCUUGAGAAAGCAGUGCUGCUCUUCAGACAAUGUUUGUUGACUACAGCUUGCUGUGAAAACAGUGGCAGACAGACGGGCUUGCACACUGUACCUGAGGGCGACUGGAUCUUUCAGAGCAAAGCUGAACUGUGCAUAGUCCUCAAAGAGAAAGGAGAUUCUGAGACUGCUGAGUGUAAUCUUUCAUCUGCCAAGAAAAACUUUGCUUCUACACCAAACCAAGACCUUGAAUUUCAAACCCUGAGGAUGACAGUCCCCAGCUGCUCCUGAGACAGGCCUAUUGUCGGUUUCCCAGAAACUUGUCAAGCAUCCCGAGGACGAAAGACCUAUCUAAAAACAACAGGAACUGGGCAUGAGCUGAUUAUAGGAAUCUCAUCUUUGGGAAAUUUCAAUUACUUUGAACUUCCCCACCAGCAUGGCUUUUCCUUUAUUGGAGCAAAACAAGUCAAAAGAUACAAGCAAGGCACAUGUGAUUAAUUCUCAGAAAGCAAAACAGGUUAAUGUGUAAAACAUCCCUGGGAGCAAAAAAAAAAGCUCUUUAUCUUUUAUAGAACAUAAAAACAUUUUCCACUUGGCAAAUUGUGUUCCUUUAAAAAUAGCGCAGAGUCAUGUGGUAUAAAAUGAGAAGAGAGACAGGAAAGUGUUCUAACAUGUUUUCAGAAAGUUAUGAAUUGAAUUUCAUCUGGAUGCCGAACCUGAAGAAAGACACUCUGUGAUUUUUAGAAAGUAUUUUUGACUCAUGAAAAUUCAUUAUAAUUGUUUCUUAACAAUUUUAAAAAAAACGAACAGAA